AGAAUCAACGCUGGCGGCGUGCCUAACACAUGCAAGUCGCACGAGAAAGGGACUUCGGUCUUGAGUAAAGUGGCGCACGGGUGAGUAACACGUGACUAAUCUACCCUCGAGUGGGGAAUAACUGAGAGAAAUCUUAGCUAAUACCGCAUAACACUUACGAGUCAAAGCAGCAAUGCGCUUGGGGAGGAGGUCGCGGCCGAUUAGCUAGUUGGCGGGGUAAUGGCCCACCAAGGCGAUGAUCGGUAUCCGGCCUGAGAGGGCGCACGGACACACUGGAACUGAAACACGGUCCAGACUCCUACGGGAGGCAGCAGUGGGGAAUUUUGCGCAAUGGGGGAAACCCUGACGCAGCAACGCCGCGUGGAGGAUGAAGUAUCUUGGUACGUAAACUCCUUUCGAUGGGGAAGAUAAUGACGGUACCCAUAGAAGAAGCCCCGGCUAACUUCGCGCCAGCAGCCGC
rnacentral:rRNA from 1 species